rnacentral:rRNA from 1 species
AUUGAACGCUGGCGGCAUGCUUUACACAUGCAAGUCGUACGGUAACAGGGAGCUUGCUCCGCUGACGAGUGGCGAACGGGUGAGUAAUAUAUCGGAACGUGCCCAAGAGUGGGGGAUAACGUAGCGAAAGUUACGCUAAUACCGCAUACGAUCCAAGGAUGAAAGCAGGGGACCUUCGGGCCUUGUGCUCCUGGAGCGGCCGAUAUCUGAUUAGCUAGUUGGUGAGGUAAAGGCUCACCAAGGCGACGACCAGUAGCUGGUCUGAGAGGACGACCAGCCACACUGGAACUGAGACACGGUCCAGACUCCUACGGGAGGCAGCAGUGGGGAAUUUUGGACAAUGGGGGCAACCCUGAUCCAGCAAUGCCGCGUGAGUGAAGAAGGCCUUCGGGUUGUAAAGCUCUUUUGUCAGGGAAGAAAAGGGUACGGCUAAUAUCCGUGCCUCAUGACGGUACCUGAAGAAUAAGCACCGGCUAACUACGUGCCAGCAGCCGCAGUAA